GAUGAACGCUGGCGGCGUGCCUAAUACAUGCAAGUCGAGCGAACAGACGAGGAGCUUGCUCCUCUGACGUUAGCGGCGGACGGGUGAGUAACACGUGGAUAACCUACCUAUAAGACUGGGAUAACUUCGGGAAACCGGAGCUAAUACCGGAUAAUAUAUUGAACCGCAUGGUUCAAUAGUGAAAGACGGUUUUGCUGUCACUUAUAGAUGGAUCCGCGCCGCAUUAGCUAGUUGGUAAGGUAACGGAUUACCAAGGCAACGAUGCGUAGCCGACCUGAGAGGGUGAUCGGCCACACUGGAACUGAGACACGGUCCAGACUCCUACGGGAGGCAGCAGUAGGGAAUCUUCCGCAAUGGGCGAAAGCCUGACGGAGCAACGCCGCGUGAGUGAUGAAGGUCUUCGGAUCGUAAAACUCUGUUAUUAGGGAAGAACAAAUGUGUAAGUAACUAUGCACGUCUUGACGGUACCUAAUCAGAAAGCCACGGCUAACUACGUG
rnacentral:rRNA from 1 species